GACGUAGGGCGCGAGCGUUGUCCGGAUUUAUUGGGCGUAAAGAGCUCGUAGGCGGCUUGUUGCGUCAGCUGUGAAAACCCGCAGCUCAACUGUGGGCUUGCAGCUGAUACGGGCAGGCUUGAGUUCGGUAGGGGAGACUGGAAUUCCUGGUGUAGCGGUGAAAUGCGCAGAGAUCGGGAGGAAUACCGGUGGCGAAAGCGACUCUCUGGACGGCAACUGACGCUGAGGCACGAAAGCGUGGGGAGCAAACAGG
rnacentral:rRNA from 1 species